AAAUGCGAUAAUUAAUGUGGAUUGCAGAAUUCAGUGAAUCAUCGAGUCUUUGAACGCACAUUGCGCCCCCUGGUAUUCCGGGGGGCAUGCCUGUCCGAGCGUCAUUGCUGCCCUCAAGCACGGCUUGUGUGUUGGGCUUCCGUCCCUGGCAACGGGGACGGGCCCAAAAGGCAGUGGCGGCACCAUGUCUGGUCCUCGAGCGUAUGGGGCUUUGUCACCCGCUCCCGUAGGUCCAGCUGGCAGCUAGCCUCGCAACCAAUCUUUUUAACCAGGUUGACCUCGGAUCAGGUAGGGAUACCCGCUGAACUUAAGC
rnacentral:misc_RNA from 1 species